rnacentral:rRNA from 1 species
UACUCGUAGCUACUUGGUCAUUUAGAGGAAGUAAAAGUCGUAACAAGGUUUCCGUAGGUGAACCUGCGGAAGGAUCAUUACUGAAGAACACUCUUCAUACACUGUGAACUGUAGCUUCGGCUUAUACAAAUACGUGUCGUGAAUGUCUAGUUAUCAUAACAAACAUAACUUUCAACAACGGAUCUCUUGGCUCUCGCAUCGAUGAAGAACGCAGCGAAAUGCGAUAAGUAAUGUGAAUUGCAGAAUAGUGAAUCAUCGAAUCUUUGAACGCACCUUGCGCCCUAUGGGGCAUGCUGGUUUGAGCGCCUUAUAAUCGUGUUCGAUAGCAAUAUCUGAACGAGUUGAGUGUUGCUGGCUUGCCAGCUCGCUCUGAAUGCAUUAGCGACUAGAGAUUCGCAAUGACGUGAUAAGUAUUUCGUCAAAGCGGAUGGACAGUUGCUUCAAACCGUCUCACGACAAUACCAAUGCUAGGCAUCAAAUUAGUAGGACUACCCG